rnacentral:lncRNA from 10 species
CUAAUAAAAAUGGACUAAUUUUAAUAUACUUGUUUUAAAAAUGAUUUAUUAUGAUUAUCAUUCAAUCAGCAAUGCUGCUAGAAAGCUGUUAUUUAGCCUGAAUUUUAGAAAAUGUGUUAAUUUUUUUAAAGGUACAUUGAUUUUUUUUGAUAGGAAUAAAUUGAAUGCAGUGACGGUGGCAGCUUUGGCCAUGAUUAUUUAGGUAAACCACAACUAAUUCAUAAAGUGCUGAGGACCCUUUAAUACCUACCAAAAAUGGGCAGGCUGUCAAUUUGGAAGUUUCCAUGUGAAACAUAUUCUUUGACUUGGCCUCUGAAAAACUUUCCUGCAGUUCCCUGCGUAGAAUGUAGUUUAUUUCAGGGCUGAUUUUUAUACCAUGUAACAUAAGUUUAUUUUACUUGGUAGUAUGUAAAUUUUACUGGU